CCCAUUUUUCUUUCUCCAUCCUUCUUCAAGUUCGGUCCCAGUUCCUUCUUCUUCUUAAUUCGGUUUCUUCUCCAAGCUCUGGUCCUUUGAGAGCUCUUCUUCCUCAAGAAUUCGAACAAGAUUAGAACUCCUCAACCCCUUUAAAUUCUUCACUGAUUCCUUCCUCUCUUCUUCCUAUUUGGAUUCGAGCAAAGGAGAAAAUCCCAAUCUAGGGUUUCGGCCAAUUGAGCUCUUCUUCCCCUUUCAAGCUUCAAGAACUUAGAUUAGCUAUGUCGACGCUUUGGACCGGCUGGAGCGCGAAUUCCGACGGUUACAAGAGUUGAAGACUGCUGGUAGCUCAACGUACACAGCCAUUUGGAUGGAAUCUCGUCUACAAGCAUGGCACGACACUCGGGCUUCGGCUGGACUUGAGAUUCAAACGCAACAAAGUCGGGUGGAUCAAAUGGAGGCCUUGGCUAUCUUGGGGAUGGCGAAGGGUGACUUGGAGCGUUCACGAGUUGUGAUAUCCGGAAAAUUGGAGCUCUCGAAACAGAAGUUAGCCAAGAUCCAACAAGAGGCUGCGAAAACAUUAUCCCUCACCGAGGAAUCCUUCAAGGUUGCAUUGCAGUGUGAGCUUGAGCGAACUUAUACAGAGGAAUUGACUAAACUUGAACAGCAAGCCUGUAGUCACAAACUUCAUGUAGAUUGAUUGUAACUCUUGUACCUGCAAACUCAAUUUUAUUAAUAGAAAAUAUGUCUUUUUCAUUCAUUA